AUAAUGAGACUUCCGUAACUCGCGGCCCGCCAUAAAGAAGGCGAGGUGGGGAGAUCCCCCAAUGA
rnacentral:ncRNA from 1 species